UACGUAGGGGGCAAGCGUUGUCCGGAUUUAUUGGACGUAAAGAGCGUGUAGGCGGCUUUACAGGUCCGUUGUGAAAACUCGAGGCUCAACCUCGAGACGCCGGUGGAAACCGUAAAGCUAGAGUCCGGAAGAGGAGAGUGGAAUUCCUGGUGUAGCGGUGAAAUGCGCAGAUAUCAGGAAGAACACCCGUGGCGAAGGCGGCUCUCUGGGACGGUACUGACGCUGAGACGCGAAAGCGUGGGGAGCGAACAGG
rnacentral:rRNA from 1 species